rnacentral:tRNA from 1 species
GGGCCUAUAGCUCAGCUGGGAGAGCGCAUCGCUGGCAGCGAUGAGGUCAGGGGUUCGAGCCCCCUUAGGUCCACCA